rnacentral:rRNA from 1 species
UACGGAGGAUGCAAGCGUUAUCCGGAAUCAUUGGGCGUAAAGCGUCCGCAGGUGGCGAUGUAAGUCUGCUGUUAAAGAGUGAGGCUCAACCUCAUAAGAGCAGUGGAAACUACAUAGCUAGAGUACGUUCGGGGCAGAGGGAAUUCCUGGUGUAGCGGUGAAAUGCGUAGAGAUCAGGAAGAACACCAGUGGCGAAGGCGCUCUGCUAGGCCGUAACUGACACUGAGGGACGAAAGCUAGGGGAGCGAAUGGG